CAGCAGCCGCGGUAAUACGUAGGUCCCGAGCGUUGUCCGGAUUUAUUGGGCGUAAAGCGAGCGCAGGCGGUUAGAUAAGUCUGAAGUUAAAGGCUGUGGCUUAACCAUAGUACGCUUUGGAAACUGUUUAGCUUGAGUGCAAGAGGGGAGAGUGGAAUUCCAUGUGUAGUGGUGAAAUGCGUAGAUAUAUGGAGGAACACCGGUGGCGAAAGCGGCUCUCUGGCUUGUAACUGACGCUGAGGCUCGAAAGCGUGGGGAGCAAACAGGAUUAGAUACCCGAGUAGUCCCUGUCUCUUAUACA
rnacentral:rRNA from 1 species